rnacentral:rRNA from 1 species
ACGCUGAAGCUUGGUGCUUGCACCGAGCGGAUGAGUUGCGAACGGGUGAGUAACGCGUAGGUAACCUGCCUCUUAGCGGGGGAUAACUAUUGGAAACGAUAGCUAAUACCGCAUAAAAGUCAACAUUGCAUGAUGUUGACUUGAAAGGUGCAAAUGCAUCACUAAGAGAUGGACCUGCGUUGUAUUAGCUAGUUGGUGAGGUAACGGCUCACCAAGGCGACGAUACAUAGCCGACCUGAGAGGGUGAUCGGCCACACUGGGACUGAGACACGGCCCAGACUCCUACGGGAGGCAGCAGUAGGGAAUCUUCGGCAAUGGACGGAAGUCUGACCGAGCAACGCCGCGUGAGUGAAGAAGGUUUUCGGAUCGUAAAGCUCUGUUGUAAGAGAAGAACGAGUGUGAGAGUGGAAAGUUCACACUGUGACGGUAACUUACCAGAAAGGGACGGCUAACUACGUGCCAGCAGCCGCGGUAAUACGUAGGUCCCGAGCGUUAUCCGGAUUUAUUGGGCGUAAAGCGAGCGCAGGCGGUUAGAUAAGUCUGAAGUUAAAGGCUGUGGCUUAACCAUAGUACGCUUUGGAAACUGUUUAACUUGAGUGCAGAAGGGGAGAGUGGAAUUCCAUGUGUAGCGGUGAAAUGCGUAGAUAUAUGGAGGAACACCGGUGGCGAAAGCGGCUCUCUGGUCUGUAACUGACGCUGAGGCUCGAAAGCGUGGGGA